rnacentral:misc_RNA from 1 species
GGAAGGAUCAUUACCGAGUUUGGGUCCUUUGACGGGCUCGACCUCCCAACCCUUUGUCUACCUGACCUCAUUGUUGCUUCGGCGGGCCCGUCCCCUUUGGGGGACCGCCGGAAGGGUUUACGCCCCUCUGGCCCGCGCCCGUCGGUGGCCUUAAUGAAAAAACGCUUGUUAAACCGUGGCGUCUUGAAUUGUGAUGAGAAAGAAUAACCGGAUAAAAACUUUUCAACAACGGAUCUCUUGGUUCUGGCAUCGAUGAAGAACGCAGCGAAAUGCGAUAAGUAAUGCGAAUUGCAGAAUCCGUGAGUCAUCGAAUCUUUGAACGCAUAUUGCGCCCUUUGGUAUUCCGAAGGGCAUGCCUGUUCGAGCGUCAUUAUCACCCCCCUCAAGCCUCGGCUUGGUGUUGGACUUGGUUAUUGUUGGGCAGUAACCGGCCUCAAAGAUAGUGACGGCGUCCCAGAGGGAACCGGUACGAGGAGCUUUUUGUAUCGAAGCAUGUACGCGGGAAGACUCUUGUGGGCGACGGUCUUGUUACCCUGACAUUUUCUCAGUGUUGACCUCGGAUCAGGUAGGAAUACCCGCUGAACUUAAGCAUAUCAAUAAGCGGAGGAAAAGAAACCAACAGGGAUUGCCUCAGUAACGGCGAGUGAAGCGGCAACAGCUCAAAUUUAAAAUCUGGCUUCCUGCGAAGUCCGAGUUGUAAUUUGUAGAGGACGUUUCGGGCUCCACCGCGUCUUAAAUUUCUUGGAACAGAAUGUCAGAGAGGGUGAGAACCCCGUCUGGAGUCGCGGCACCGGGCCCAUGUGAAACUCCUUCGACGAGUCGAGUUGUUUGGGAAUGCAGCUCAAAAUGGGUGGUAAAUUUCAUCUAAAGCUAAAUAUUGGCCAGAGACCGAUAGCGCACAAGUAGAGUGAUCGAAAGAUGAAAAGCACUUUGAAAAGAGAGUUAAACAGUACGUGAAAUUGUUGAAAGGGAAGCGCUGGCAACCAGACUUGCGCGCGGAGGCUCCCCCUCGCUUCUAGCGUGGGCUACUCCUCCGUGUCCAGGCUAACAUCGGUUCGGGCGGUCGGUUAAAGGCCUUGGGAAUGUAUCUUCCCCCGGGAAGACUUAUAGCCCAGGGUGUCAUGCGGCCCGCCCGGACCGAGGAACGCGCUUCGGCUCGGAUGUUGGCGUAAUGGUUGUCAGCGACCCGUCUUGAAACACGGACCAAGGAGUCUAACAUCUAUGCGAGUGUUCGGGUGUCAAACCCUUUGCGCGGAAUGAAAGUGAACGGAGGUAGGAAGCCCUGCGGCUGCACUAUCGACCGAUCCUGAAGUUUACGGAUGGAUUUGAGUAAGAGCAUAGCUGUUGGGACCCGAAAGAUGGUGAACUAUGCCUGAAUAGGGUGAAGCCAGAGGAAACUCUGGUGGAGGCUCGCAGCGGUUCUGACGUGCAAAUCGAUCGUCAAAUUUGGGUAUAGGGGCGAAAGACUAAUCGAACCAUCUGGUAGCUGGUUCCUGC